rnacentral:rRNA from 1 species
UACGGAGGGGGUUAGCGUUGUUCGGAAUGACUGGGCGUAAAGCGCGCGUAGGCGGAUCGGAAAGUUGGGGGUGAAAUCCCGGGGCUCAACCUCGGAAUGGCCUUCAAAACUCCUGGUCUUGAGUUCGAGAGAGGUGAGUGGAAUUCCGAGUGUAGAGGUGAAAUUCGUAGAUAUUCGGAGGAACACCAGUGGCGAAGGCGGCUCACUGGCUCGAUACUGACGCUGAGGUGCGAAAGCGUGGGGAGCAAACAGG